rnacentral:lncRNA from 1 species
GUGUAACCUUGUAGCAGUGCUUCAUCUGCAAGGGCGCCGAGCCUGGCAGGACAUGCUCAGUGUUCUCACUUCAUCUAUACUGGAUAGGGCAUAGGAGGAGGCACAUGACACGUGAGCUGAUGCUGCUUUCGUUCAUCCAAUUCUUGAAAUGGUCAGCCCCAGGAAACAGCAGCUUAAAAUGAGCAGCUACCACUUCUUCCACUAAAUAUGUAUUGUAACUCUAAAAUGUAAGACAGAAGAAUCAGGUGCUAACUUCUUGACUGUCAUUUCUGACUGUCACUGAGCAUUUAACGAUUUCAGCCUGUACUGCCACAGGUCAUGAAGUUGCCUCUGAAUAUGGUUUAGGUUUUAGAGCAGGCACCUGUGGCCUCUGGGUCUGGUGCUCAGGGCAGGGUGGGCCAAAGUGAUUUGAAUCCUCAUUCUGUCUGUAGCUGUUCUGUGCAAGGCCUUAGCUCAGGGGCAUAAUUUCUAGCACAGACUUUUCAUUUGUUCCCAGGCUCUUCUGUUCCUAAUAGCUUUUGAGGCUGCUUAAAAUGAAUGGAGUUCGUUUGUACAAGGUACAGCUGCACUCAGCAAUUUAUUUUCAUAGCAGCAGUCAUUGGGCUUCCUUUUGUGUUCAGUCUGCAAACUCCAAUUUCUGUUCUUCUCCAGACUAUUAGUCACUGUCCUUUGAGCCUGACUUUAAGAACAAGUGGAAAAGUAUAUCAUCUAAAAUACCUAAAACAGAUGGAUUUUACUAAGGAAAUGGUUCAGCUGCAAACUGUCAUUUCUGUACAUCUCCAGGUGCAUCAUACUGAAAGAACUCAAAACUUGGACAAGAGUUAAUGCUACUAUGAAUGUAACUUGAAAAGUAGAGAGAUUUAGUGUUUUAANNNNNNNNNNNNNNNNNNNNNNNNNNNCCCAUUCCUGACUCUUUUUGAUGACAAAAGUCAGACAUGUUCUUGACACUGACAGUAAAUUUGUAGUACUGCAAGGCUUAUUUCCCAUUUUUAAUUAAUGAAGUCAGAGCAUACUGUGAUGCAUGUGACACAACUGGAAAUGACUGCUGUGAAUUGCCAGCUAGCAUCUUUUUGACCUAGCGGUCAGCUUGAAUCCUUAACUAUUGUGGCAUAAUAAAGUAAGAGACAGGACAGAGCUGGGAAGAACA